GCUUCUUAGAGGGACUAUCGCCGUUUAGGCGACGGAAGUUUGAGGCAAUAACAGGUCUGUGAUGCCCUUAGAUGUUCUGGGCCGCACGCUGUCUACACUGAUGUAUUCAACGAGUAUAUAGCCUUGGCCGACAGGCCCGGGUAAUCUUGGGAAAUUUCAUCGUGAUGGGGAUAGAUCAUUGCAAUUGUUGGUCUUCAACGAGGAAUGCCUAGUAAGCGCGAGUCA
rnacentral:ncRNA from 1 species